UACAGAGGGGGCAAGCGUUGUUCGGAAUUACUGGGCGUAAAGGGCGCGUAGGCGGCCUUCUAAGUCAGACGUGAAAUCCCUCGGCUCAACCGGGGAACUGCGUCUGAGACUGGAAGGCUUGAAUCCGGGAGAGGGAUGUGGAAUUCCAGGUGUAGCGGUGAAAUGCGUAGAUAUCUGGAGGAACACCGGUGGCGAAGGCGGCAUCCUGGGCCGGUAUUGACGCUGAGGCGCGAAAGCCAGGGGAGCAAACGGG
rnacentral:rRNA from 1 species